CUCUACAUUCAAGCUCACAUGUAUUCUGUUUUCUACCAAUUUUCUUGUGCUUUCUUUGCUGUCACUAACCUUGUCUCUUUGUCUGUUUCCCUCCCAGGUUUACUCACCCUCGUCCUCCGUUCAGUCGGCUGGGUUCAUCCUCUGGUCCUCUCCUCCCCGGACUUCCCCACGGCGUCCUCCCAGUUCCCCCCUCGCUUCCUCGGCCCCAGUGUUCCCUGGCUCCCUGGUCCCGGUCUCGUCGGUUUUCCUGUGCCAGUGUUUCCCUAGCAUCCACCUCUCCCUCCAGUCCCUCAACCCACCCAUCCAUCGUCAACCGCUUAUAAUGCGUACAGGGUCACGGGGGGGCUGGAGCCAAUCCCAGCUGACAUCGGGCGCAAGGCGGGGUACACCCUGGACAGGUUGCCAGUCCAUCGCAGGUCCCUCAACCCCUUUUCCCUCAAACCUCCUUUGCUCUGAGUGCUGCAUUUGGGUUCUGUCCCCACACCACCCGUAACAAAUAUAAAUAUAGUUACAUGACAUUAUUUACCACUUCAUAGACCCAGAAAAAGGCAAAUACAAGGCCCUUGGAAUUCAUCAGUCUGGACAUGGCAUGGUGCGAAGAACCUUUACACAAAAAUAGCAGCAUUUCAAAAGAUUGUAUAAGACGGUAGAAGAUGCAGCGUAUAUGCCUUGAAAUAUGAAAAAACCUACGAUACAUUUCCGAGUUGCAAAGGAUUGUGAAGAACACUCACAAGUGGAGUGGGGAUGCCUAGAAGGAGGAGCCUUCUCCCAGAUGACCCCAGACAGCUUGGUUUGGUGCCCCCUGCACCAGCCACAUCAGUCAGAAGAGGUCUAGUAGGUACUUCAAGGCAAUACUGGGAGAAGUGUGGCAGUAGGCUCACACAGUUCACUUGCUCCUGGCCACAGCAUUUCCCUACAGUUACCACAAGUACACCAAGGUACUCCUGGCACUCCAGCAGAAGGUGGGGCACCAUGUCUGCGCUGAUGCAUCAUCAAGGCAUCAAAGACCAGGCCUGGCUGCCUCUCUAGCAGAAGGGUGGAGAGCUGUUCUUCAAGGGUCAUCUCCUGAAGUCUGAAGAAAGAGGACACAGGGAAAAAUACUCAAUGUGCAAUAUUCUCUGCUUCAAUACUCUGGUUACUCUGUCUCAAUGUUGUUUUUAAGAUUGUAUCCGUUCCAAAUGAAAUAUACCAGUACUCAUUAUUAUUUAAUGCACUAUUUAUCAUUACACUUCUGUUGAUGCUGUAAAUUACUUUACAUGUCCACAUUACCUUUAUUUAGAUUUUAUAUUUAACUGACAUGCAAGCUUAGCAAUUGUGACCAAGAAUUUCCCCUUGGGUAUCAAAAAAUUUAAGUCUGAUAAAAUCAGGCUUUAUAAGUUGCAUGACAUUAUGUUGGCAACAUGGUACUGCAUAUUAGGGUUUGCAGGCUGCCCAGUGUUUGCUCAACUUGUAUAAUAUGGCUUCAUAUAAUCAUUGCUGCCCAGUAAAUGACAUGUUACUAACGUUACAGUACCAGGGGUACAUGUGCACAGAGCUGCUAUGUAAAUAACGUUAUCACUGUGUGCUGGGGUUUGUCAUAAAGUGCAAACAGGUCAGAAUAUAACGUUACAACAACCUUAUAAAUACAAACCUCAGUAACAGCCAUCGGGUUCCUUUGGAGGGCUUCCACUCUUUCUUCGUCCUCUAUUGAGCCAUCACUCCAGGUAUGUCCUCUGCCUCUCCUUGCCCUGACUGCACCUCCAACACCUCUGCCUCUCUUACAGUUAUCGCCGGUAAAUGUACUUCUGCAUUUAGAUCACAUUGACAUGUGCUGGUUCUGUCUAAUGUUAGCUGCUUCUUCUUCCUUGUGAUUUUAUUGUCAGUUGGCAAACAACGAAUUGGUGCGUUACCGCCACCAACUGGUAUGGAGUGUGGAUCACACCUUUAUACAUCCCUGAUCAUGGAGAGAAAUACUUCUGAGUGAUUAGUUGGACUUAGUGGGCGGGCCACAACACGUUGAUUGACAGUUAAGGAAGAGGAAGGAAAAAGCAAUGAAAAAAGGUCUCUAAGGGAAAAGCAAUGACAAUAGGUCUCCUUGGGGAAAGGCAAAAGCAAAUGUAUGUAUUAUUUUUAUUCAUUCAUUCUUUGAUAUAUUUCCGCUUUUUUUAUUUAUUCUUUUAUUCAUUCAUUCUUUCUUACAUAUAUUUCCCCAUUUAUUUAUUCUUUCAUUCAGUUCUGACACUUUGGAUGUUCCAUAUAGAUGUUCCGUAGCAAACAGUAAUGUGCAUGCUAAUGCUAUAAAGUGGCAAUUUCGACUUUUGGGUUUUAUGUGCUAGCUAUAAUGCAAUAUACUGCUAGAACAUAUCUUAUUACCUGUUACCUUGCUGAAUAAAGUAUGAAUAGGCUGUACAUCAGAUGCAAUAAAAAUCUACAUGGGCAUGAAGCAGGCUUGUAUCCCUCUCACUGUGCACUUUGAAUUUUUGAAUCAUUAUAUUGUUAGCUUGUUGAAUCAGGUGGUAAAUUCUGCUGUUGUAGUCUCUCUGUAGCCAUGAAUCUGGUGAUUAACAGUAUAUCAAAACACAUACAUGAUGUUUAGUUAAAUGGCUAAAACUGUACUGAAUGUGGUUGAACAUUAAAACCUUUUAGACUUCUGGUUACAAAUAGCCUACAUGUUGUUCCUGUAGUAUUUAUUAUUUGAA